rnacentral:tRNA from 1 species
AUGGAUGACUUCUUUAAUAGUAACAUCGCACCAAGGCAUCUUUCUCCACGCCAGUGCCGCCGCUGCCCGAGCGGCACCGCGUUCGCAUCUCCAAAUGCUGUAACAGGGACACUCACCUCGCAGGUCAGGGGCUUUUGGCCAUCCCUCUCCACUUCAGGAUGCUCUCGUCCAGGGGCACCAGGUCAACCAGGACAGCCGCGAGGGGCACACAAACCCCCAGCUGGCCCUGGGGAGUCUUCACUGCAGGAUUUGACGUCUAAAAGGAUGGGGACUUGGACCUCGGGCACAGGUGAGCUCUAAGGCCCCCGAAAGAAAUCAUUCGGUCAGGCCCUGCCAGGGCAUCAAGGCAGGCGAAUUUUCAAAAUGAUCAUUUUGUUUGGCCCACGAAUGAUGCGAUCAACAUUCACACGGCUCCCCAUUCCAACACAGGCCAGGUGCCCAGCCAUUCUUUCUGCAGGGGAGGGGAGGGAGCUGCCACCCAGCUUUAUCAAGGUCCUGUGACGCCUAAACCCAGCUUCUCCUUUCGACCCUUCACAGAGGCCGGGUGUGGGUGGUCACCUAAUCGCCUCGCUCAUAACUUUUUGAGGGAGGUAGUGGCAAAACUGUAGCUGGAUGCCUCCCCGUCGGGGAAUCGAACCCCGGUCUCCCGCGUGACAGGCGGGGAUACUCACCACUAUACUAACGAGGAAUGCCCUGCUGCAGGCCUCUGCUUAUCUCUAAUAAUAGUUUCGGUCCUCAGUCCUCAGCGGCCCACCCCAGCCAAUUCAUCCACCCGAGGUCUCCCUGCUCCUCGGCCUAGCAGCGCAGGUUUGUGGCGAGACCCCUGGAGCCGCUGACCCCACGGCUCCGCUCUGCCAGAGCCGGCGGCCCAGGUUUAACAAAAGUGGAGGAGGGAGGACGCCCGCUCCCCAGGACCGCGAGUUCCCGCACGAUCUGACGCAGGAAAAAUUCGCGCGCGUAGUCGGCAGGACUCGAACCUGCGCGGGGAGACCCCAAUGGAUUUCUAGUCCAUCGCCUUCACCACUCGGCCACGACUACCCGGCUCCCGGCGCUUUCUACCCCGGCAUGGACGAGAAGGCGCAUCUCCCGCGUAACCCUCACGGAGCGCACAGGGAUGCGGGGGCGGGGGACCGUGCGGGAGCCGUCUGGGCGGGGCCAGGGCGGUGAGGCGGGGAUGGGGCGGGGCCUGGGCGGUGGGGCGGGGCCUGGG